ensembl:lncRNA
GUGAGUUCCUAUUCCAUUUUAGCUCGACUGGGUAUGAUUCAGCUUUUGGUGUUUCACCUGCCUUUCAACAUACUUCCGUUUUCUGAGAGCUGGUGUUUUUGCAGGGUUUGAACUUGAUUGCUAACAGAGAACUGCAUCGACUUACAUAAACGGACAUGAAUAAACCUUACGAGAUGCCCCUGAUUGAUAAUACAAAAGUAUCCAUAUGGGACCAAUGAUGCCAGCAGGAAAUGAGUCAGAAGUGUUGAAAACUCAAAGAAGAAGUAGAGAUUCUGGAUAAAUCAGACAGAACCCGAGGAGAAACAGCAGUAGCGCAU